rnacentral:rRNA from 1 species
GAUGAACGCUGGCGGCGUGCCUAAUACAUGCAAGUCGAGCGAACGGACGAGAAGCUUGCUUCUCUGAUGUUAGCGGCGGACGGGUGAGUAACACGUGGAUAACCUACCUAUAAGACUGGGAUAACUUCGGGAAACCGGAGCUAAUACCGGAUAAUAUUUUGAACCGCAUGGUUCAAAAGUGAAAGACGGUCUUGCUGUCACUUAUAGAUGGAUCCGCGCUGCAUUAGCUAGUUGGUAAGGUAACGGCUUACCAAGGCAACGAUGCAUAGCCGACCUGAGAGGGUGAUCGGCCACACUGGAACUGAGACACGGGCCAGACUCCGACGGGAGGCAGCAGUAGGGAACCUUCCGCGAUGGGCGAAAGCCUGACGGAGCAACGCCGCGUGGGUGAUGAAGGUCUUCGGAUCGUAAAACUCUGUUAUUAGGGAAGAACAUAUGUGUAAGUAACUGUGCACGUCUUGACGGUACCUAAUCAGAAAGCCACGGCUAACUACGUG